GACGGGGGGGGCAAGUGUUCUUCGGAAUCACUGGGCUUAAAGCGCGUGUAGGCGGGAGGGCACGUCCGUCGCUGAAAUCCCCCGGCUCAACCGGGGAACGGGCGCGGAUACGACCUUCCUGGAGGGGCGUAGGGGGACCUGGAACUUCCGGUGGAGCGGUGAAAUGCGUUGAGAUCGGAAGGAACGCCCGUGGCGAAAGCGAGGUCCUGGACGCCUACUGACGCUGAGACGCGAAAGCCAGGGGAGCGAACGGG
rnacentral:rRNA from 1 species